UCAGUAAGCGGAGGAAAAUAAACUAACCAGGAUUCUCUUAGUAACUGCGAGUGAACAGAGAUUAGCCCAGCACUGAAGCCUGUGGUCUCGAUCAUAAGGCAAUGUGGUGUUAAGGCGCACUUCUGAUAUUGCUAACCUACUCGAAGUCCAGCAUUGAAAAUGGCUUGGAUAUUGCCCACAGAGGGUGAAAGGCCCUUACGAGUAGGUGUUAGUUGUGAAAGCAAUGUUUAGAUAUGUGCGUCUUUGAGUCGGAUUGCUUGAGAAUGCAGUCUAAAUUGGGUGGUAAACUCCAUCCAAGGCUAAAUACCUGUACGAGUCCGAUAGUAAACAAGUACCGUGAGGGAAAGUUGAAAAGUACUCUGAAGAGAGAGUAAAUAGUACGUGAAACUGUCUGUAGGUUAAUCGGGUGGAGUCAAGCUGCGUGAGUAGAAGAUUUAUCCCUUGUGUAUGUGGUUAUUUCAGCGUAUUAUUUGGUGUGCUUGCCAAUGCACGGCAGGGUAACCUGCUUCAGUUUCAGUAUUUGAAUGCUGUCUGGGCCAUUUAUUAAAGCGCUAACACGAGGGUGCACUUCUUUUAUUCUGACACCAUGAUCGAUAUAAUUGUUAAUAUGUGGUAAUUGCACUAUUUUUUUAUGAAUCUUGUAUUCAUAAUAGAUAGCAUGGCAGGUUAUUUAGUUGCUCUCUUGUUGAGGCAAUUAUUGUUUGUGGUUGUGGCCAGCCGAUUACCAUGUUAAACUUGUUAUUAUAUAAUAUAUCGGUUGUAAAUCCUAUCAAUUCCCAUAUAUUUGUUGCUUUUACGCUGAUCAGUUUUGGUUAAUCCUUGCUGGUUAGUUUGUUUGUUAUUUGAUGUGGGAUGAAAUAUGGUUAAAAUCAUGGUGUUGUGGUAGACCU
rnacentral:rRNA from 1 species